AUUGAACGCUGGCGGCAGGCCUAACACAUGCAAGUCGAGCGAGCGGCGGACGGGUGAGUAAUGUCUGGGAAACUGCCUGAUGGAGGGGGAUAACUACUGUAAACGGUAGCUAAUACCGCAUACCAUCGGAUGUGCCCAGAUGGGCUUAGCUUGUUGGUGGGGUAACGGCUCACCAAGGCGACGAUCCCUAGCUGGUCUGAGAGUAUGACCAGCCAAGCGGGAACUGAGACACGGUCCAGACUCCUACGGUAGGCAGCAGUGGGGAAUAGUGAACAAUGGGCGCAAGCCGGAGGCAGCCAUGCCGCGUGUAUGAAGAAGGCCUUCGGGUUGUAAAGGACUUUCAGCGGGGAGGCGUUACCCGCAGAAGAAGCACCGGCUAACUCCGUGCCAGCAGCCGCGGUAAUAC
rnacentral:rRNA from 1 species